rnacentral:rRNA from 1 species
GAUGAACGCUGGCGGCGUGCCUAAUACAUGCAAGUCGAACGAGGUGCUUUUGUAGCAAUACGAAAGUAUCCUAGUGGCGAACGGGUGAGUAACGCGUUGGUGACCUGCCCCAAAGUGUGGGAUAACAGUCCGAAAGGAUUGCUAAUACCGCAUGUGGUCCUCGGAUUUAGAAACCGAUGACUAAAGCCGUAAGGCGCUUUGGGAGGGACCUGCGUCCCAUCAGCUAGUUGGUGAGGUAACGGCUCACCAAGGCGACGACGGGUAGGGGGCCUGAGAGGGUGG